GUGAGGAAUAUUGGACAAUGGGCGCAAGCCUGAUCCAGCCAUGCCGCGUGCAGGAUGACGGUCCUAUGGAUUGUAAACUGCUUUUAUACGAGAAGAAACACUCCGACGUGUCGGAGCUUGACGGUAUCGUAAGAAUAAGGAUCGGCUAACUCCGUGCCAGCAGCCGCGGUAAUACGGAGGAUCCAAGCGUUAUCCGGAAUCAUUGGGUUUAAAGGGUCCGUAGGCGGUUUGGUAAGUCAGUGGUGAAAGCCCAUCGCUCAACGGUGGAACGGCCAUUGAUACUGCCAGACUUGAAUUAUUAGGAAGUAACUAGAAUAUGUAGUGUAGCGGUGAAAUGCUUAGAGAUUACAUGGAAUACCAAUUGCGAAGGCAGGUUACUACUAAUUGAUUGACGCUGAUGGACGAAAGCGUGGGUAGCGAACAGGAUUAGAAACCCCUGUAGUCC
rnacentral:rRNA from 1 species